AGCAGCCGCGGUAAUUCCAGCUCCAAUAGCGUAUAUUAAAGUUGUUGCAGUUAAAAAGCUCGUAGUUGAAUUUCGGGAUUGACGUGAUGGUCGUGCCUUAAGGGGUAUGAACUGUUGCUGUUGAUUUCUCACCUUCUGGAGAAACUUGAUGUCCUUAAUUGGGUGUCUUGCGGAUCCAGGACCUUUACCUUGAAAAAUUAGAGUGUUUAAAGCAGGCAUUUUUGCUCGAAUACAUUAGCAUGGAAUAAUAGAAUAGGACGGCAUGGUUCUAUUUUGUUGGUUUCUAGGAUCACCGUAAUGAUUAAUAGGGAUAGUUGGGGGCAUUAGUAUUCAAUUGUCAGAGGUGAAAUUCUUGGAUUUAUUGAAGACUAACUACUGCGAAAGCAUUUGCCAAGGAUGUUUUCAUUAAUCAAGAACGAAAGUUAGGGGAUCGAAGACGAUCAGAUACCGUCGUAGUCUUAACCAUAAACUAUGCCGAC
rnacentral:misc_RNA from 1 species